rnacentral:rRNA from 1 species
AAUAUUGUACAAUGGGCGAAAGCCUGAUCCAGCCAUGCCGCGUGUGUGAAGAAGGUCUUCGGAUUGUAAAGCACUUUAAGUUGGGAGGAAGGGGUUGAAGCUAAUACCUUCAAUCUUUGACGUUACCAACAGAAUAAGCACCUGCUAACACUGUGCCAGCGGCCGCGGUAAUACAGAGGGUGCAAGCGUUAAUCGGAAUUACUGGGCGUAAAGCGCGCGUAGGUGGUUCGUUAAGUUGGAAGUGAAAGCCCCGGGCUCAACCUUGGAACUGCUUUCAAAACUGGCAAGCUAGAGUAUGGCAGAGGGUGGUGGAAUUUCCUGUGUAGCGGUGAAAUGCGUAGAUAUAGGAAGGAACAUCAGUGGCGAAGGCGACUACCUGGACUGAUACUGACACUGAGGUGCGAAAGCGUGGGGAGCAAACAGG